UGGGGAAUCUUGCACAAUGGGGGAAACCCUGAUGCAGCGACGCCGCGUGAGCGAUGAAGCCCUUCGGGGNGUAAAAGCUCUUUCGACAGGAACGAUUAUGACGGUACCUGGAGAAGAAGCUGCGGCUAACUACGUGCCAGCAGCCGCGGUAAUACGUAGGCAGCAAGCGUUGUUCGGAGUUACUGGGCGUAAAGAGUGUGUAGGCGGUUCUCCAAGUCUGGUGUGAAAUCUCCCGGCUUAACCGGGAGGGUGCGCCGGAAACUGGAGGGCUUGAGUGUGGGAGAGGAAAGCGGAAUUCCUGGUGUAGCGGUGAAAGCGCGUAGAUAUCAGGAGGAACACCGGUGGUGUAGACGGCUUUCUGGACCAUUACUGACGCUGAGACGCGAAAGCGUGGGGGAGCAAACAGGAUUAGAUACCCUGGUAGUCCACGCCCUAAACGAUGCAUACUUGGUGUGAGCCGUUCAUUCGGUUCGUGCCGGAGCUAACGCGUUAAGUAUGCCGCCCUGGGGAGUACGGUCGCAAGGCUGAAACUCAAAUGAAUUGACGGGGUCAUAGCUG
rnacentral:rRNA from 1 species